rnacentral:rRNA from 1 species
GACGAACGCUGGCGGCGUGCUUAACACAUGCAAGUCGAACGGAAAGGCCUGCUUUCCCUUGUGGAUUGCGGGUACUCGAGUGGCGAACGGGUGAGUAACACGUGAGUGAUCUGCCCCCAACUUGGGUAUAAGCCUGGGAAACUGGGUCUAAUUCCCGAUAGGACUGCAGGGUGGUGCCUGUGGUGGAAAACGAUUUUCUAGUGGUUGGGGAUGAGCUCGCGGCCUAUCAGCUUGUUGGUGGGGUAAUGGCCUACCAAGGCGGCGACGGGUAGCCGGCCUGAGAGGGUGGACGGCCACAUUGGGACUGAGAUACGGCCCAGACUCCUACGGGAGGCAGCAGUGGGGAAUAUUGCACAAUGGGCGGAAGCCUGAUGCAGCGACGCCGCGUGGGGGAUGACGGCCUUCGGGUUGUAAACUCCUUACGACCGCGAGGAAGCCACCUGGUUGGAAGGGUGGUGACGGUAGUGGUAGAAGAAGCACCGGCUAACUACGUG